GAGUCGUGAGUCCUAGGGACUCGGCGUACCGCUCAUUAACACGUGGGUAACCUGCCCUAUGCUGGGGAAUAACCUCGGGAAACUGAGAAUAAUGCCCCAUAGUUCACCACGCCUGGAACGGUGGGUGGAUGAAAGCUCCGGCGGCAUAGGAUGGGCCUGCGGCGUAUCAGGUUGUAGGGGGUGUAAUGUACCCUCUAGCCAUCUACGCGUACGGGUGUUGAGAGACAUCGCCCGGAGAUGGAUUCUGAGACACGAAUCCAGACCCUACGGGGUGCAGCAGGCGCGAAAACUUGGCAAUGCGAGCAAUCGUGACCAGGGAACUCCAAGUGCAUCGGGUAAUACCGAUGCUUUUCUUGACUCUUCAAAGGUCUUGGAAUAAGGGGUGGGUAAGGACGGUGCCAGCCGCCGCGGUAAUACCGGCGCCUCAAGUGGUAGUCGCUUUUUAUUGGGCCUAAAACGUCCGUAGCCGGUUUGGUACAUUCGUGGGUAAAUCAAGACGCUCAACGUCUUGAAUUCUGCGAGCACGGCCAGACUUUGGGACCGGGUGAGGUGUGGGGUACUCUCAGGGUAGGGGUAAAAUCCUGUCAUCCUGAGAGGACCACCUGUUGCGAAGGCGCCACACUAGAACGGAUCCGACGGUCAGGGAC
rnacentral:rRNA from 1 species